CACGUAGGGUCCGAGCGUUGUCCGGAAUUACUGGGCGUAAAGCGUGCGCAGGCGGUUGGGUCAGUCGCUGGUGAAAGCCCCACGCUCAACGUGGGAAUGGCCAACGAGACGGCCCGACUGGAGGCAGGGAGAGGCCGGUGGAAUUCCGGGUGUAGUGGUGAAAUGCGUAGAUAUCUGGAGGAACACCGGUGGCGAAGGCGGCAUCCUGGACCGGUAUUGACGCUGAGGCGCGAAAGCUAGGGGAGCAAACGGG
rnacentral:rRNA from 1 species